rnacentral:lncRNA from 1 species
UGGUGUACAAACGCCAAUAUGAAUGCCCAGCAACUGAGAGGGGGAAAUUGAAUGAGCCGAGUGGAUUGAAAGCCUUCGAAGAGAGGACAGGCAAAGUAACUAGAUCGUGCGGCUUGUUUGUCGACCUCAAAGACGGAUGUCUCGGCGCUUCUCCAGAUGCACUUGUGGAGGAUGACAACGCCACUGUCGAAAUAAAGCGCCCUUAUUCAGUAAGAUACCAAAAGCUGAAGACGUCGCUCGAACCGGGUCGAGUUUUUAUUUAAAAUAUGUUGAUGAAAAAGAUGAACUUUACCUGCAAGAUUUGGCCGAUUACAUGUAUCAGAUUCAGUGUCAAAUUGGAGUGACAGAUCGCUCCGUAUGCUAUUUUAUAGUCUGGACAAAAGAAGACAUGCACAUUUACUUUGACUCUGUAAUUUGGCAAGAAAUGGAAAGAAAAUUGCUGGACUUUGUCAGACAACACUUCCUUGUUGAGAUUGCAGACCCACGACGCAAACGGCAAAUGCCAAUUCGAGAAAGCCAGGAAGAUUACGCUUUGAGGCAGAAGCGAAAGAAAAGGCCGAGUAUGAGAAAGAAGAUCAGUUGAAAAUUCCAGAUUCUGAUGUAGAGGAGCAAGACGACACUGAUCUUGAUUCCUUCAUUGAAAUCCCUGAUUCUGGUGUACCUAGAGGAGCAAGCCUCCAAUGGUCUUGUUUCCUCCAUUGAGAUUCCAGACGAUGAUUCUGAAGAUCUCUUUCAUGGAAAAUUGGGUGUGAGGCCACCAACUCCACCUUCUUCAUACAUAUAUUGAACCACCUGUUUCCACCAAGAUUACGUUCUUGAAGAAUGGUAUCAGUCUUCCCCCGGUGAAAAUUUUAUUUGGAGGCAAAUUACAGUACUUAAAGCUCAAUUUCACAUGCGCAUGAUUCGAUAACAUUUAUAAUCGAGCAAUCUAUGGAAUCCAGCCCCUCAUAUCAUGAGCAAUUUUCUCAGCAUAGAAGCAACGGUCUCAUAAAUUACUGUUUCCGUUUGAAUAAAAGAGAGAGCAAAGAUCGGCUAAUAAUUGAAAGAGGUAUCAUUAACUUGAAGAACGACAUAAGGACAAUGGAUAACCACACAGUGAAUUGUUUUUGCAAUGUGAGCAGUUGGGCAAAUUUGCUGAACGACAUUCCAUCCGCGAAGCGAGUGUAUCAAUACGUGUCCACUGAAUGCCAGCAUGUCCUGCAGUUAAUUGCAGCUUGGGUACAACCGCCCCUUUCCAUUGUGCCCAUGCUUUGCAAAGGGAGCAUACAGCCGAUGAUGGAUGACCUCGAAACGCCGAUUAUUGAAACAUUUUGCCGAAAAUUUAAGAAAAACCUGCGUCUCGACUAUUACAAGUUUGGAAACUGCCACAUUCUACUGGUAGGGAACACUUUCAAAGAUGGCUCGCUCAAUUCUGAGGACCCUGAUUUCAAAGGCUGUUUCCGAAUUGCAGAUUUGGAAACCUCCAUGGUUGCAGAUAAUAAAAGGUUAACAUAA